rnacentral:lncRNA from 1 species
AUGAUGACGACCAGAAUCAAGUACUGGGCCUGUUCCCAUCUGAAUAAUUCAAAGUAUCUCCUAAACCUAAAAUAUUUCUUCUCCGUUGGGUUCUCUCUCUCUUCUCUCUCUCUCUCUCUCUCUCUCUCUCUCUCUCUCUCUCUCUCUCUCUCUCUCAUGCCUGACCAAGCUUUUGGUUCAUGUUUAAUUGAAUGCUUCAGAUACUCUACAAGCAUCCUUCAUCUUCUAGAUCCCACCCUCAAACACUGGGCUAUCACCAGGGGACACUGCCAUGAUGCCAGAUGCUUUCACAGUAGACAAUUUGGGAAGGAAGAUUUCUCUAUCUCUGGGAAUUUUUGUGUUGGCUUGUAAGGGGAGGAGACAAGAAAGGCAGGUCGCUCAUAGUUCCAAAAUAAAAGAGGAGAGGGAGAAAAGGGGGAAACUCCA